rnacentral:rRNA from 1 species
GCUGGCGGCAGGCCUAACACAUGCAAGUCGAACGGUAACAGGAAACAGCUUGCUGUUUCGCUGACGAGUGGCGGACGGGUGAGUAAUGUCUGGGAAACUGCCUGAUGGAGGGGGAUAACUACUGGAAACGGUAGCUAAUACCGCAUAACGUCGCAAGACCAAAGAGGGAGACCCUCGGGCCUCUUGCCAUCGGAUGUGCCCAGAUGGGAUUAGCUUGUUGGUGGGGUAACGGCUCACCAAGGCGACGAUCCCUAGCUGGUCUGAGAGGAUGACCAGCCACACUGGAACUGAGACACGGUCCAGACUCCUACGGGAGGCAGCAGUGGGGAAUAUUGCACAAUGGGCGCAAGCCUGAUGCAGCCAUGCCGCGUGUAUGAAGAAGGCCUUCGGGUUGUAAAGUACUUUCAGCGGGGAGGAAGGGAGUAAAGUUAAUACCUUUGCUCAUUGACGUUACCCGCAGAAGAAGCACCGGCUAACUCCGUGCCAGCAGCCGCGGUAAUACGGAGGGUGCAAGCGUUAAUCGGAAUUACUGGGCGUAAAGCGCACGCAGGCGGUUUGUUAAGUCAGAUGUGAAAUCCCCGGGCUCAACCUGGGAACUGCAUCUGAUACUGGCAAGCUUGAGUCUCGUAGAGGGGGGUAGAAUUCCAGGUGUAGCGGUGAAAUGCGUAGAGAUCUGGAGGAAUACCGGUGGCGAAGGCGGCCCCCUGGACGAAGACUGACGCUCAGGUGCGAAAGCGUGGGGAGCAAACAGGAUUAGAUACCCUGGUAGUCCACGCCGUAAACGAUGUCGACUUGGAGGUUGUGCCCUUGAGGCGUGGCUUCCGGAGCUAACGCGUUAAGUCGACCGCCUGGGGAGUACGGCCGCAAGGUUAAAACUCAAAUGAAUUGACGGGGGCCCGCACAAGCGGUGGAGCAUGUGGUUUAAUUCGAUGCAACGCGAAGAACCUUACCUGGUCUUGACAUCCACGGAAGUUUUCAGAGAUGAGAAUGUGCCUUCGGGAACCGUGAGACAGGUGCUGCAUGGCUGUCGUCAGCUCGUGUUGUGAAAUGUUGGGUUAAGUCCCGCAACGAGCGCAACCCUUAUCCUUUGUUGCCAGCGGUCCGGCCGGGAACUCAAAGGAGACUGCCAGUGAUAAACUGGAGGAAGGUGGGGAUGACGUCAAGUCAUCAUGGCCCUUACGACCAGGGCUACACACGUGCUACAAUGGCGCAUACAAAGAGAAGCGACCUCGCGAGAGCAAGCGGACCUCAUAAAGUGCGUCGUAGUCCGGAUUGGAGUCUGCAACUCGACUCCAUGAAGUCGGAAUCGCUAGUAAUCGUGGAUCAGAAUGCCACGGUGAAUACGUUCCCGGGCCUUGUACACACCGCCCGUCACACCAUGGGAGUGGGUUGCAAAAGAAG